GGGAUGGGGCGCUUAGCCGUUGGAUCUCUUUUAAUGACAUCUUGCGGCUGUGAUUCUUUUAAAUGUUUUAACCCAUUUUAACACUCCUGACCCGAAAAAAAAACACGCGAUGGCUGAAGAACCUAAGGCACGCACGAAGAAGAGGAAGAGCCCACCCUUCCAAGACGAAGGAAGAGCUGCCAUCGCAAGUUGAGCUUGCGAGAAUUCUAUGCCAAUCAGCUCUUGAGAAUUUGCUGAAGGAUUUUGUUAGUAGACAUGCCACAUGAGAUGAAGUGUAUAUGGUCUCUCGUCUGAAUGAGAUGAAGUGUAUAUGGUAUCUCUUCUGUUAGCAGUUGGUAUUUAGCAUUAUGUCUGGAAUUUGUGCCUGAGAUAAUAGAAAUCUGCUUCUGCUGCUGCUGCAUAAGGAUGAGGCUUAAUGAAACUGUGAAAUCAGUUGUUGAAUUACCUACUGAUGUUGCUGCUGCCCUCAUAAGGAUGAAGCUUCCUUGGAUUGCACUCGAGUCUCUACCAAGGGAAGCAGCAGAGGUGGCGACACCAUUGCAGCAUAUGUACCAUUUUUAGCCAGCAA